AUUGAACGCUGGCGGCAGGCCUAACACAUGCAAGUCGAGCGGAUGAAGGGAGCUUGCUCCUGGAUUCAGCGGCGGACGGGUGAGUAAUGCCUAGGAAUCUGCCUGGUAGUGGGGGAUAACGUCCGGAAACGGGCGCUAAUACCGCAUACGUCCUGAGGGAGAAAGUGGGGGAUCUUCGGACCUCACGCUAUCAGAUGAGCCUAGGUCGGAUUAGCUAGUUGGUGGGGUAAAGGCCUACCAAGGCGACGAUCCGUAACUGGUCUGAGAGGAUGAUCAGUCACACUGGAACGUGGACACGGUCCAUGCUCCUACGGGAGGCAGCAGUGUGGAAUAUUGGACAGUGGUCGAAAGCCUGAUCCAGCCAUGCCGCGUGUGUGAAGAAGGUCUUCGGAUUGUAAAGCACUUUAAGGUGGUGGGAAGGGCAGUAGGUUAAGACCUUGCUGUUUUGACGUUACCAACAGAAUAAGCACCGGCUAACUUCGUG
rnacentral:rRNA from 1 species